UACUGCGCAGCUCUGCGGCGCAUUUAAGAGAGGUCGGAUCCGGAAGUCUAUCCUUUUCCCUUGGAGGAGACACAACGAUGAGCAGAGACGAGCGCUGCGCCUCAUGACAUUCGAAAAUUUAGAAGACUGCAUCAUGUUUAGUCUUCAUAACGACGAUGUUUCGAUGAAGAUGGAAAAUGUUAUCUAUGAUUGGUACACCUGAUAAGAUGUCAAGUCACCACUACAAAUGGCCAAAUAUUGGUUUUCACCAUGUGGACCUUAAGGUGAGCUCUGUUUCAGAAGUCACCCUGUGGUGAGGGACCUGUGCUGAUCUAGAGAUGAGCAGUUGGUGCAGCAGUGGAACAAAAACAGUGUCUGCUUUCUCUAAUGUGGUUACAGGACCAUUUGACCUUACAGAGUAGGCUACUUUGAAAGCAUUGCUGAAGCUGAUGGCUCACCAGUUGGAGGAAAUCUGGAGAUUUACAUUUGAGGGGGCGACAUCAUUAAAAAAAAUUAUUGAAUCAACUUUUUUUUCCCCUGUGUAUCUUGUGCUGUAUGUAGAUCUUAAAGAUAACUGGUGUGUUCAAUGAAUAAGGAGGCAGGGCCCCCGUGUCAUAUCAGUUGGGUGUGUGUGAUCUUGUGCUACCUACCUGUGUUUUGAACCUUAGGGGCUACUCCUCUGUAAUGUACG